rnacentral:rRNA from 1 species
GACGAACGCUGGCGGCGCGCUUAACACAUGCAAGUCGAGCGAAGCGGCGGACGGGUGAGCAACACGUGAGUAACCUGCCUUAGACAUUGGGAUAGCCUCGGGAAACCGGGAUUAAUACCAAAUGGUCUAAGAUGGACUCGCGUCCCAUUAGCUAGUUGGUGGGUAACGGCCCACCAAGGAGACGAUGGGUAGCCGGCAUGAGAAGGUGAACGGCAACACUGGAACUGAGAGACGGUCCGAACUCUACGGGAGGAAGCAGUGGGGACUAGUGCACAAGGGAGGGAUCAAUGAUGCAGUGAGGCCGCGUGUAUGAAGAGGGCCUUCGAGUCGUAAAGUUCUUUUAUAUGGGAAGCGGUACCAUAAGAAAAAGCCCCGGCUAACUACGUGCCAGCAGCCGCGGUAAUUC